AGAGGGUGAAACUCCCGUCCGCCUGGUAGAAUGAGUCUUUGUCAACGAGUCGAGUUGUUUGGGAUUGCAGCUCUAAUUUGGUGGUAAAUUCCAUUUAAAGCUAAAUAUUGGUGGGAGACCGAUAGCGUACAAGUACCGUGAGGGAAAGAUGCAAAGAACUUUGAAAAGAGAGUUAAAGAGUACCUGAAAUUGCUGAAACGGAAGCGAAGGAAACCAGCGUUUGUUGGUUCAUAUUUCCUUGGCCACUUGUGGUUUGGGCGCUGUGAGCUUGCGUGGGUUUGGGUUGGUUGAUCCCUUUGGAAGAGCGCAGCCAGAGUUGAUGUCU
rnacentral:rRNA from 1 species